CGGCGAUGUGGCUGAGCGGCAGGUAGCUGACCACCGACUCCUGAGCCUGCGUGGCGUCUGUCAGGCGCACGUGACGGCAGGUGGACAGCGCGGUCCACGUCAGCUGCAGGGGAGGGACAGAGAAAUACAGUUAAUGUAGGCAAAGAACACACACUGGGCUCAUGUAACUUACAUUGUCAUGGCUGAGCAUGACUCCUUUGGGCUGGCCUGUGGUUCCUGAGGUGUAGAUGAGCGUGCAGCAUUGGUUGGGCUUCUGGCUGGCGAUGAUCGCGUCGAGAGGUUCGUCGGGCUCGUCGCGUCCGAGCUCCAUGAACUCGGCCCACUGCGGCACGCAAAGGAGACCGCUUAAGAUGACGUCUCAUGAGUUGUCCACAGUAAUUACACGCAGUGCGUCGCUCAUUUCGGUCUCACCUGGAGGAUCUUCUGCAGCUGUUUGUGGUUCUCCACCACAAUGAUAUUGGCCCUGCUGUUUUCUGCUACAUACUGGCAUGCUU